rnacentral:sRNA from 1 species
GCCAGGUGUGGUGGUGCACACCUGUAAUUCCAGAGACUUGGGAAGCCAAGGCAGGAGGAUUGCAAGUUCAAGGGCAACAUCAGUAACUUAGUGAGACCUUGUCUCAC